AGCCACUGGUUAAACAAUGAGUCCAGAUAAAAAUGAUGUGAUAUCGUGAAGUCAUCUUCUUCAGAUACAUAUUUGCAGCAGCAAAUAAUCCCAAAGGAGAUAAACAUCUAAAAGAAAGGAAUGAAAAUAGGAGGACUAAGGGCAUAGAGUAAAAAGAGAAAGAGAUCUAUUUUAGAUGAACACUGAACUUUAUAUCACAGAAAUAAUCCACUAAUAUAUGGUUCAAUGUGCAUUACUUGCUUUGAGACCUUUUUAUUUAUAAAUGCCUCACUGUUGGAACCUGCAUGAAUGAAAGCUGAAUCUCAAAGAUCAGACACGUUGGACUUGGAAUAAUGUCCAUGUUAUGAUUCCAAUCUGUGCCUAAAUCUGAACCACUCAGUUCUUCAUGCUUGUUGGAAUCCUCCUAAAAUUGGAAUUUCCUGGGAGAUAUCCAGUACUUUUUGGGCUGUAAACAGCAAAACAAACAGCCUUUCUUGUAAUAUGCUAUGUCUAGUGCUAACUGAAUUCAAGAAGUUUAUGGGUGUGGGGAAAGUAACUUGAUUUCUUUGCAAACUUACAAAUUUGCUUCAGUUUAAAUUUUGACCAAAAAUUCAUCUCAGGAAUAUGUUUUGGAAUAAUUCUUUGCUAUUAGUUAUAAAUGUGGCAAAUAUUGUUUAAACAAUAAAAUAUUAUUUUAUACAAC
rnacentral:lncRNA from 1 species